GUACGGCCGCAAGGUUAAAACUCAAAUGAAUUGACGGGGGCCCGCACAAGCGGUGGAGCAUGUGGUUUAAUUCGAUGCAACGCGAAGAACCUUACCUGGUCUUGACAUCCACGGAAGUUUUCAGAGAUGAGAAUGUGCCUUCGGGAACCGUGAGACAGGUGCUGCAUGGCUGUCGUCAGCUCGUGUUGUGAAAUGUUGGGUUAAGUCCCGCAACGAGCGCAACCCUUAUCCUUUGUUGCCAGCGGUCCGGCCGGGAACUCAAAGGAGACUGCCAGUGAUAAACUGGAGGAAGGUGGGGAUGACGUCAAGUCAUCAUGGCCCUUACGACCAGGGCUACACACGUGCUACAAUGGCGCAUACAAAGAGAAGCGACCUCGCGAGAGCAAGCGGACCUCAUAAAGUGCGUCGUAGUCCGGAUUGGAGUCUGCAACUCGACUCCAUGAAGUCGGAAUCGCUAGUAAUCGUGGAUCAGAAUGCCACGGUGAAUACGUUCCCGGGCCUUGUACACACCGCCCGUCACACCAUGGGAGUGGGUUGCAAAAGAAGUAGGUAGCUUAACCUUCGGGAGGGCGCUUACCACUUUGUGAUUCAUGACUGGGGUGAAGUCGUAACAAGGUAACCGUAGGGGAACCUGCGGUUGGAUCAC
rnacentral:rRNA from 3 species